GGAGCUCUAGUCCAGCAUACACAAUAUUUUAUGGUAUUUGUACUUUGAAUUUAUUAUCGAUUGUAUUUUAUUUUGACUUAUUUCGACUUUUUGUGUAUUUCAACUUUAUUGUGUAUUGGUUGAUGACUUAUUUUGACCAUCUGGAUUUAUAUGUCCUUUUUUUCAUAUCAAUUGUAUGGUUUAAUGUUCAUCACAUAACAAGGGCCUUAACAUUUAU
rnacentral:lncRNA from 1 species